rnacentral:tRNA from 1 species
AGUCGCGUAGCUCAGUGGUAGAGCAUCUCCUUGACGUGGAGAGGGUCUAGGGUUCGAAUCCCUACGUGACUACCA